CAAGCCACAGUACUAAACCACAAAACGUCCCUAGCACUUACUUUCAGUUGGGGCAACUGCGGAGCAAAAUAUAAACUCCAUGCCUAAGCACAUAACAUGCCACCACCCCAGGCCGCCACGCCCACCACCUAACACUUGACCCAGUCUAACUGAUCACCGAACCAAGUUACCCUAGGGAUAACAGCGCCAUCUUCCCCCAA
rnacentral:rRNA from 1 species